AGCACGUUUUUGCAGAGAACAAUAUAGCCUUACUCUAACUUAGUUCUAACGUAACCAGCUUUCAUGCGUUAUUCUCUUGUCUGCGUUGACCCAGACCAAACAGGUGCUGCACAGCUAUCAACGAAGUUCUUACAUGCAAGCUGGAAGCACCAAAUACAAUUGCCUCGAAAUGCUAGGAUGGCCUAUAACAAAGUAUCAUAAAAAUCUCUCGCGCAAUCGCACAAAUACGAGACUGUGCUGCAAUCAUUUUUCUAGUCUCUUGAUUGAAAGAGCGUAGGAAUACACAUUGAACUACGCUUAUUUUGACGUACUACGCAACACAAGGGUUUUGAAAUCUCUUGACCGAAAGGACCAGCUCUGUACUAUAGUAGGACGGCAACUCUUUCCGCUCUCCCUUUCUCUCUCUCUCUACCGAUUCGCACAUCGAAUUCAGCAAAAUCUUCAGAUAGCAGUGGGCCACAGCGCUUAAACAGGAGGACUCAACCGGUUUGUGUCGGAUCUAGCCGCCAUUACAUUGACUCUGGCUAGGCUGCCGGUGUGGUGGCUACUUUUGCAGCCUAAGUGCCUGCAUAUAAAGUUAUGGUUCUUGUUGUGACAGCCAGGGCGCAUAAAGAAUAACAGGAAUGGGCUGUGCAUACGGAUUAGAGCUUGUUGUAAUUGCAUGUUUAUUACCUGGUCAUCUUCUUGCUAGAGGCUUCAAUGCAAGAGAUCCCAAAUGUCUAAAGGAAGUCACAGCAGAAGGCUGCGACACCGUCCUCUUGGGCUGGAGCUACAUCAAGGCCUCAAAUAAAUGUGCUAAAGGAUUUGUCUGCUCAGAAAAUGUCAACAGAUUUUCUAAUGAAGUGGAGUGUUCAAAAAUUUGCCCAGCCAUACCGGGCAAGAGACCAAGACCACGAAUAAAGAACUGCCGGUAUUGGCUUAUGCAGGGAGGGGAAUGCCAAAAACAUUGGUUUGAUUUCAGAGAAGGCUUAUUUGGAGUCAGGCAUCGAAUGCUGUAUUACACUGGCUGCGACGGUGACAAGCAUCGGGUCUUUGCGUACGACUUUUUUUGGAAAAGAUGCCGAGGUAAGAAAACGUUAAUUCACGUAGAAGGUUUUAAAUCUUGUAGUCCCUCUACAUUGCGGUACAUCUAAACGUGCUUUAAAAUUAUUAAAGUUCAACUACGACAACUUAGGUACAAUUAGGAGCAGCAAUACUUGGAGCGCAAAGGUCCAA